rnacentral:tRNA from 1 species
AGGGGUAUAGCUCAGUUGGUAGAGCAGCGGUCUCCAAAACCGCGUGCCGAGGGUUCAAAUCCUUCUACCCCUGCCA